rnacentral:rRNA from 1 species
UGACGGUACCUGACUAAGAAGCCCCGGCUAAAUACGUGCCAGCAGCCGCGGUAAUACGUAUGGGGCAAGCGUUAUCCGGAUUUACUGGGUGUAAAGGGAGCGCAGGCGGCAAGGCAAGUCAGAAGUGAAAACCCGGGGCUCAACCCCGCGGAUUGCUUUUGAGACUGUUUAGCUGGAGUGCAGGAGGGGCAAGCGGAAUUCCUAGUGUAGCGGCGAAAUGCGUAGAUAUUAGGAAGAGCACCGGUGGCGAAGGCGGCUUGCUGGACUGUAACUGACGCUGAGGCUCGAAGGCGUGGGGAGCAAACAGGAUUAGAUACCCUG